rnacentral:snRNA from 1 species
GUGCUCGCUUUGGCAGCAUAUGUACUCUGUAUCAUUGGAAUGAUACAGAGAUUAGCAUGGCUCCUGUGCAAGGAUGACACCAAUUCCAAAGCAUUCCAUAUAAGAAAU